rnacentral:precursor_RNA from 1 species
AUAAGAUUCUGGGAUAUCAGAGUCAGAAUAAUAUGGUUUUGCUGUGUGUCCCUAUGAAUCUCAUGU